rnacentral:rRNA from 1 species
CCUACGGGAGGCAGCAGUGGGGAAUAUUGCACAAUGGGGGAAACCCUGAUGCAGCAACGCCGCGUGAGUGAAGAAGUCAUUCGUGAUGUAAAGCUCUAUCAGCAGGGAAGAAAAUGACGGUACCUGACUAAGAAGCCCCGGCUAACUACGUGCCAGCAGCCGCGGUAAUACGUAGGGGGCAAGCGUUAUCCGGAUUUACUGGGUGUAAAGGGAGCGUAGACGGCGACGCAAGUCUGAAGUGAAAUGCCAGUGCUCAACACUGGAACUGCUUUGGAAACUGUGUGGCUAGAGUGCAGGAGAGGUAAGUGGAAUUCCUAGUGUAGCGGUGAAAUGCGUAGAUAUUAGGAGGAACACCAGUGGCGAAGGCGGCUUACUGGACUGUAACUGACGUUGAGGCUCGAAGGCGUGGGGAGCAAACAGGAUUAGAUACCCCAGUAGUC